AUUUUAUCUAACGAUUUUCUUGAUUGAAAUGGUUGUUCGGAUCUUAGAAUGUGUUCUUGUUGUUUUGUUUUGGUCUGUUGCAUUCAAAUGUGUGUAAAGAAGUGAAAUUUUCGCAAAAUUUCACUUGGUUUAAUGUUUAACUAUCUGGAAAUGAAAUUCCAGGACAAUACGAUUCAUUGUUGAGAGAAUUUAUAAAAAUUUGAACUAAAAUUGGAUCCAUGAACCUUUGUUUUUUGCUUUUGUUGGUUGAAAGUCUGAAUCUUGUUAGUUCAGUUUCAGGUUAUAGAGCAGUAAAA
rnacentral:misc_RNA from 1 species